rnacentral:tRNA from 1 species
GCGGGAGUAGCUUAGCUGGUUAAAGCACCUGCUUGUGGUGCAGGGGAGCGGGGGUUCGAAUCCCCUCUCUCGCCCCA